CUCAGGAUGAACGCUAGCGGCAGGCCUAAUACAUGCAAGUCGAACGGUUUCCAGCAAUGGAGAUAGUGGCGCACGGGUGCGUAACGCGUAACCAACCUACCCGAAUCUGGGGGAUAGCCCGCCGAAAGGCGGAUUAAUACCGCAUAAGACUAUGAGCCGGCAUCGGAUGGUAGUUAAAGAUUUAUUGGAUUCGGAUGGGGUUGCGUGCCAUUAGCUAGUUGGGGGGGUAACGGCCCACCAAGGCGACGAUGGCUAGGGGAGCUGAGAGGCUGGUCCCCCACACGGGCACUGAGAUACGGGCCCGACUCCUACGGGAGGCAGCAGUAGGGAAUAUUGGGCAAUGGAGGAGACUCUGACCCAGCCAUGCCGCGUGCCGGAUGAAGGCCUUCUGGGUCGUAAACGGCUUUUUUCCGGGAAGAACCGGUUCCUUGCGAGGGGCUCUGA
rnacentral:rRNA from 1 species